GUUACAAAUAUCAAACAUGGUUUUAUGGUGUAUGGAAGGAUGGCACCAGUGGACUCCAGAUACUAUAUCCACUUAAAUGAGAUGAAGCAGUUAUGGUGUUAACAGUGUCCCUUUUAUUGCCCUGUUACUCACCAAAAGCAGAGAGGAAGUAUAUUUAAACACACACUUGUCCUCAACUAUAACUGUCCUCCUGACACAGAGAUGGUCUGUCGGGUGAUCAGUAGAUUUUACAAGCCUGAAAGCUGGUGUGCAAUCAUCUAAUGUCAAUAUUUUCAUGCAGUGAACAUGACUUCUUGCCCUGAGGUGAAGGAGAGAGCCCUAGGGAUAUGUGGCACUCCCUGUGAGAAUGACACACAAUGUGAAGGUGAAAAGAAGUGCUGCCCGGAUGCCUGCCAUCAAUAUUCCUGUAGGACAAUAGGUAAGACUUAGUUUGCAUUAUAG